rnacentral:lncRNA from 1 species
GAAUGGAACAUUCCAUCUUUCACCUCAUGAAAAUAUUCUUACCAUUGCACUCAUAAACAUUCAUUAUUUGUAUACUAUUUUCAUGUGAGAUGAGGUCUUUUACAUUUAUUUAGUGAUUAGUCUCCAGGGCGUUCUCCAGACAAAUACGUAGGAUGUUUGCGCAUCCAAAAUGCUCUCUCCUCCGCAGAGGCUUGAACCUUCUGGCGUAAUUACGAAAUUCUUUCUAAAUUAUUCCUCUAAAAGUAAAAAAUGUGUUACAAUAAGAACUUACAUUUAAUACAUUUGCGUUCUCCGUGCCAACUGCGCUUUGAACCAUGCGUCUUGGCGAGAUUCUAUACAUCUUUUUCCAGAAUUUGAACUGGUCUGGCGAUGAGGCGGAGCUGCAUAGAUUUUAAACGUAUCUGCAUGCAUUCUUUACGUUUCUAAAAAAAAAAUCCAGAUGCAUGUAACUCGAAUUUCAUCUAUGCGGUGAGCAACUGCGGCCCCAGAAAUUGAAAGUACAAUUUUCGCCACUGCAUCAUGGUGGAUGAAAUUAGAAUUGCAAACAAUCCUCAUGGUUAAAUUCAUCUAACCUGUCGAAGAUGACGAACCUAAAUUGAACAUAUUUUGUGAUUGGCUACCUUAACAAAAGUGAUCAAUGUUUAUGACUCAUUCUUUAGAAGUUUAUAGUUUCAUUGUCAUGUGUUUCAUUGUUAUAAUCAACUUUCCCUAGGGCUUCGUGAUGAUCCUGUAACAUGAUUCUCACAACAAACAUUGACUUCAACAAUGAAUAAUUUUAUAUUCUUAGAUGAUCUUUUCAAAGUUCUCAAACUAAACCCGACCCCUAAAUGGAGACAAUUGUUCGACAAGUAUCUGAGUGAUCUGCCAAGCUACUAUGUUGGGGUAAAUAUGUGUGCAUGCAAAUAUUGCGUAUAUACUAUUAGUAAGGUCACGUGUGGCGUAUGGGGGGGGGGGGGGUUUCGGUCUUAUUGAGUUCACGUAAGACAGAGUUGAAAGAUUGCUCAGAUCUCUUUGGCCUCGACCGAGCCGAUUACAGCAUCUCCAGCUGGUUAUAUGAACCAGAUGAUCUCGUGUUCGUAUUUUAGCCAAUCAGCGCUCAGAAAGGGUUGUCCGAAUAGAAAUCCAUUUUGAUGUAUUCAGUCAAUUAUAUCUUUCGUUAUUCCUUAUGAAACUAGUUGAAAUUUUGUAAUUAUGUUUGGUUAUGANNNNNNNNNNNNNNNNNNNNACAAAAAUAUGGAAUCGAAAUAAAGUAUAUUACAGGAGAUAUUCAGUUGUUUUAAUCAUAAAAUGGAUUUCUAUUUGACAACUAGUGCCAGUACUUUUCCGCGUAUCAAGAUCACCUGGAACAUAGAUGGAUGAAAGUAUACACUAAUCAUAAGGUUGAUAAUAUAUAUAACAAACUUUCGUUGGUAUAGGGAUACAACUAAAUUAUUGCAUGACAAAUUUCUUUGUUUCGAAAGCGCGUCGUUGAACCGGCCGCGUCGUAGAUCGUAAACUCUCUAUUAUUGAACUGUCUUUGCCAGUGUAGGUAUAGUGGCAAUAUUAACAAAGUUGGUGGGAUGCAACUACCUGAAAAACACAAAGCGAAAUUCGACGUUUCGAGUGAAGGCCCAGGCCUCGAUAACAUUUUUUCGUGCCUGCGAGCGAAAUUCAAAAUGUGCCUGCAAAAACACAUCUUACUUAGAUUUUGUGACCUAAAUAUUGUUAAAAUGUCAGUAUUUUAAAAUGUGCCUGCAAAAAUGUAAAAGGUGCCUGCGAGCGGCGCUCGGACGCUCGCGCAGUUUAUCGAUGCCUGUGAAGGCCCUUCGUUCGGCUAUUACCUGACGAAAGACCUUCACUCGAAACGUCGAAUUUCUCCUUGUAUUUUCAGGUAGUUGCACCAACG